UACAGGGGGGGGCAAGCGUUGUUCGGAAUUACUGGGCGUAAAGGGCUCGUAGGUGGCCAACUAAGUCAGACGUGAAAUCCCUCGGCUUAACCGGGGAACUGCGUCUGAUACUGGAUGGCUUGAGUUCGGGAGAGGGAUGCGGAAUUCCAGGUGUAGCGGUGAAAUGCGUAGAUAUCUGGAGGAACACCGGUGGCGAAGGCGGCAUCCUGGACCGACACUGACACUGAGGAGCGAAAGCGUGGGGAGCAAACAGG
rnacentral:rRNA from 1 species